ACCUAUGAGGUCACACACAUUAGAGUUCAUGAUCCGAUCGGAUGGUUGAUCAACGAUUAAGAAUCAUUCUAGGGUUAAACGAUCAAUACGAUUGACAUUUAACCUAGUGCAAGUGUUGUAGGAGGAUCGAUUAGCAAUUCGAUUGCUAAUUGGCUUAAUUUGAUUAAGUCAAUAGAUUGAGUUUAAGUCUAAUUGAAUAUGAUUUAAUUAGAUUUAG
rnacentral:lncRNA from 1 species